UACGGAGGGUGCGAGCGUUGUCCGGAUUUAUUGGGCGUAAAGAGCGUGUAGGCGGUCUGGUAGGUCCGUUGUGAAAACUCGAGGCUCAACCUCGAGACGCCGAUGGAAACCCUCAGACUAGAGUCCGGAAGAGGAGAGUGGAAUUCCUGGUGUAGCGGUGAAAUGCGCAGAUAUCAGGAAGAACACCCGUGGCUAAGGCGGCUCUCUAGUACGUGACUGACGCUGAGACGCGAAAGCGUGGGGAGCGAACAGG
rnacentral:rRNA from 1 species